AUAUGAUAUUGAUUGUUAAGAUUUUUGUUAGAGAAUAUCAUUCUAAAUCUCAGAAUCACGUUACAUUCUAGUGAGAUUAAAGUUUUAAAAAUUAUAUGAUUGAAACAACUUUUAAGAAUCCGGUAAUAAUGGAAAGAUUUCUGUACAAAUUUUCAUUAAAUGGUUAAAUUUCAUACUUCAACACUUAGUAUUCAAACAAAGGAUUAAGAACUAACUUUGGCUGUACUUUCAAAAAAAAUUUAUGUUUCUGAUUGAUUGAAAUUUGAAAAGUGAUCGAAAAAAAAUAUUCAAUACUUUUUGUCUGCAUAAAAAGCAGUUAAAAUUAUAAGAUUUGCUAUGUUAAAGAUUCUAAUCUCUAUAUAUUAUUGUAAAAAAACUUUUAGUUUUGAUAUAUAAUUUCUCUGUUAUUAACAACCAGUCAAUUACAUUAUAAUAAGUUAUUGUAUCGCUGCAAUGUAUCAAAACAAACUGUUAUUACAUUAUCAACUACUUGAUAUUCAAUGACUAUGAUUGUUAUUUUGAGUAGUAUUAUCUGUAUAAAAAAAGUUUAAGUUUUAGUUUAAGUUAAUGUUUUUUAUUAAAAGUUUUUUAUCAAUAUUUAAAACUAAUAAAAAUCCGAAUA